rnacentral:rRNA from 1 species
UAUUGGGAUUCGACUAAGCCAUGCGAGUCGAGAGGGUUCGGCCCUCGGCAGACGGCUCAGUAACACGUGGAUAAUCUGCCCUUAGGUGGAGGAUAACCUCGGGAAACUGAGAAUAAUACUCCAUAGAUCUAGGAUGCUGGAAUGCACUUAGAUUGAAAGUUCCGGCGCCUAAGGAUGAGUCUGCGGACUAUCAGGUAGUAGUCAGGGUAAAGGCCUGACUAGCCUACGACGGAUACGGGUUGUGAGAGCAAUAACCCGGAGACGAUAUCUGAGACACGAUAUCGGGCCCUACGGGGCGCAGCAGGCGCGAAACCUUCACAAUGUGCGAAAGCACGAUGAGGGAAUCCCAAGUGCUUGCUCGUAAGAGUAAGCUGUUUUUAUGUCUAAAAAGCAUAGAGAGUAAGGGCUGGGUAAGACGGGUGCCAGCCGCCGCGGUAAUACCUGCAGCUCAAGUAGUGACCGCUAUUAUUGGGCCUAAAACGUUCGUAGCCGGUUUGGUAAAUGCCUGGGUAAAUCGUGUAGCUUAACUAUACGAAUUCCGGGUAGACUGCCAAACUUGAAACCGGGAGAAGCUAGAGGUACUCCUGGGGUAGAGGUGAAAUUCUGUAAUCCUGGGGGGACCACCAGUGGCGAAGGCGUCUAGCUAGAACGGGUUUGACGGUGAGGAACGAAGCCCUGGGGCGCAAACCGGAUUAGAUACCCGGGUAGUCCAGGGUGUAAACGCUGCUUGCUUGAUGUUAGUUGGGCUCCGAGCCCAAUUAGUGUCGGAGAGAAGUUGUUAAGCAAGCUGCCUGGGAAGUGCGAUCGCAAGAUUGAAACUUAAAGGAAUUGGCGGGGGAGCACAGCAACGGGUGGAGCGUGCGGUUUAAUUGGAUUC